rnacentral:rRNA from 1 species
CGGGGGACAAAGUGACAGGUGGUGCAUGGUUGUCGUCAGCUCGUGUCGUGAGAUGUUGGGUUAAGUCCCGCAACGAGCGCAACCCUUAAGCUUAGUUGCCAGCAUUAAGUUGGGCACUCUAAGUUGACUGCCGGUGACAAACCGGAGGAAGGGGGGGAUGACGUCAAAUCAUCAUGCCCCUUAUGAUUUGGGCUACACACGUGCUACAAUGGACAAUACAAAGGGCAGCUAAACCGCGAGGUCAUGCAAAUCCCAUAAAGUUGUUCUCAGUUCGGAUUGUAGUCUGCAACUCGACUACAUGAAGCUGGAAUCGCUAGUAAUCGUAGAUCAGCAUGUUACGGUGAAUACGUUCCCGGGUCUUGUACACACCGCCCGUCACACCACGAGAGUCUGUAACACCCGAAGCCGGUGGAGUAACCAUUUAUGGAGCUAGCCGUCGAAGGUGGGACAAAUGAUUGGGGUGAAGUCGUAACAAGGUAGCCGUAUCGGAAGGUGCGGCUGGAUCACCUC